rnacentral:rRNA from 1 species
AUUGAACGCUGGCGGCAUGCCUUACACAUGCAAGUCGAAUGGCAGCACGGGAGCAAUCCUGGUGGCGAGUGGCGAACGGGUGAGUAAUAUAUCGGAACGUGCCCAGUCGUGGGGGAUAACGUAGCGAAAGCUACGCUAAUACCGCAUACGAUCUAUGGAUGAAAGCGGGGGAUCGCAAGACCUCGCGCGAUUGGAGCGGCCGAUAUCAGAUUAGGUAGUUGGUGAGGUAAAGGCUCACCAAGCCGACGAUCUGUAGCUGGUCUGAGAGGACGACCAGCCACACUGGGACUGAGUCACGGCCCAGACUCCUACGGGAGGCAGCAGUGGGGAAUUUUGGACAAUGGGCGCAAGCCUGAUCCAGCAAUGCCGCGUGCAGGAUGAAGGCCUUUGGGUUGUAAACUGCUUUUGUACGGAACGAAACGGCGAGCUCUAAUACAGUUUGCUAAUGACGGUACCGUAAGAAUAAGCACCGGCUAACUACGUGCCAGCCGCCGCCGUAA